GGAACAGGGCUCCGAUGUACAGCUUCUUCUUGCCUGCGGAGGGCCGAGGCCCGAGGAGGAGGAGAAGGACGAUGAGAGAUGCCCGGAGCAGCGUCGCAUACCCGCGGGUGGCGCGAGUCACCGGCGCGGGACUGGUGCGCGUCGCCCGCAUGCUUCAAGGUUUACGCCAUAGACUGGAUUUAAAGAUGGACGACACAUUUCCUCCCACUAUCCAGAAAUGAAGCCAAACGUCGCCAUCUUGUGUAUUGGAGCCAUAGUCUGCACGGGGGGGUGGAGCCGAGGCCUCUGUAGCGGAUCCCCCCGUCCCUGGGAGGCCGGAUGAUGGCACAGCCUGAAGAAGAAAAGAAAAGACAAGGAUGGAGAAAGUGGGACGACAAGAGCAGAGAAGGAAAGAUCUGUGGCCGGAUAACGUAGAUAUGUUACAGCAACAUGAUACAUCCCACUUUUAGAACAGCCCUGGCUUCUGGAAGAACAUUUUUUGUAUUCGUUCUCUCUGUUGACGUUUGAGAAAAUCCUGAUAAAAGCAGUUUCAAGCCUGGGACCAGACCGACCUGCAGCUACGAGAUGAAUCGUGAAGAUAAAACAUUUGAUUCGGAGCAAAAACAAUAUUUGUAAACGUAAAAAAGGUACAAGACUGUGUAUAUGAUUUUUUUUUUUUUAGAGGGAAGGAACUACGCAUCCCAUAAACCAUUGCAAAUGAUCCCUUUCAUUUCCUUGUCUCUGAAAAACCCACAGCAGGUUAGAAAGGGAAACGGGAUGUAAUGAUUUUCAGGGUUGUGGGAAACAUUUCCACAGUAACUGCUCCACCAAUCAGAGGCUAUUAAACCUGAGGAUUGUGGGUAGUGUAGUAUUUCUCAUUGAUAACACAAGUAAUACCCAUUUUUCUUCAAACACAGUUGAUAGCAUACGAACUUUAGAGCACAUCGCAUCGUUUCACAACCUCCUAGCUUGUGGGACAUCUGCAUAGGAUGGUUAAAAUAUUACGGCUGUUCAUCAAAAUCUCUAUUCAGAAAAUGAAGGGGGUUUUACUUCAGGCUCCAACACUGGAGAGCUCUAUUUAACCGACAUUUUCUGUACUGCACAAAUUACAGAGUUUCAUUCGGGUCACUUAGCAAUCUCUGCGGGGUUACUUCUCUCCAUUAAUGCAUAUUGUAAACAGACACACACAGCAAACGCACACACACACACA